rnacentral:rRNA from 1 species
AGAGUUUGAUCCUGGCUCAGGAUGAACGCUGGCGGCGUGCCUAACACAUGCAAGUCGAACGGACUUUUCAUGAAGCCUAGCGAUUGAAAAGUUAGUGGCGGACGGGUGAGUAACGCGUGGGUAACCUGCCUUGUACUGGGGGACAACAGUUGGAAACGACUGCUAAUACCGCAUAAGCGCACAGCUUCGCAUGAAGCAGUGUGAAAAACUCCGGUGGUACAAGAUGGACCCGCGUCUGAUUAGCUGGUUGGUGAGGUAACGGCCCACCAAGGCGACGAUCAGUAGCCGGCCUGAGAGGGUGAACGGCCACAUUGGGACUGAGACACGGCCCAAACUCCUACGGGAGGCAGCAGUGGGGAAUAUUGCACAAUGGGGGAAACCCUGAUGCAGCAACGCCGCGUGAGUGAAGAAGUAUUUCGGUAUGUAAAGCUCUAUCAGCAGGGAAGAAAAUGACGGUACCUGACUAAGAAGCCCCGGCUAACUACGUGCCAGCAGCCGCGGUAAUACGUAGGGGGCAAGCGUUAUCCGGAUUUACUGGGUGUAAAGGGAGCGUAGACGGUUUUGCAAGUCUGAAGUGAAAGCCCGGGGCUUAACCCCGGGACUGCUUUGGAAACUGUAGAACUAGAGUGCAGGAGAGGUAAGUGGAAUUCCUAGUGUAGCGGUGAAAUGCGUAGAUAUUAGGAGGAACACCAGUGGCGAAGGCGGCUUACUGGACGGUAACUGACGUUGAGGCUCGAAAGCGUGGGGAGCAAACAGGAUUAGAUACCCUGGUAGUCCACGCCGUAAACG